GAUGAACGCUAGCGGCAGGCCUAACACAUGCAAGUCGAGGGAGAAGCCUUUCGGGGCAGAAACCGGCGCACGGGUGCGUAACGCGUAUGCAACCUACCUUUCACAGGGGGAUAGCCCGAAGAAAUUUGGAUUAAUACCCCAUAAUAUUGUUGGAUGGCAUCAUUUGACAAUUAAAACUGAGGUGGUGGAAGAUGGGCAUGCGUCCUAUUAGCUAGUUGGAGUGGUAACGGCACCCCAAGGCUACGAUAGGUAGGGGUCCUGAGAGGGAGAUCCCCCACACUGGUACUGAGACAGGGACCAGACUCCUACGGGAGGCAGCAGUGAGGAAUAUUGGUCAAUGGCCGGAAGACUGGACCAGCCAUGCCGCGUGCAGGAAGAAUGCCUUAUGGGUUGUAAACUGCUUUUAUAUGGGAAGAAUAAAGGUGUACGUGUACAAUGA
rnacentral:rRNA from 1 species